GAGAAAGUCAAGAUAUUUUGGUUAGUCGGCUAGCAGAAUGUGAAGGGGGCUAAACCACAAGAAAGAAAGAAAAAACUUCUAUCUGCUAAAUAGCUUUAAAAGGCAAAACCUUUUAUUUUUGGGAAAUCCACGACAAUGCAAAUGAAAUUAUUGUCAACAAAAAUGCAAACUGGUAUUACUUAUCAGACAGGAAUGGUUUGGAAAAAUCACACUGAAAGUUUCAAUACAUUGCAUUUACAUAUUUUAAACAGCACAACUAUUAGCUAGUGCCUCCAUAGCUCACAUGUAUCAGUGUGCAAUAAAACGAUUCACAUGCAGGAAGUUUAAAUGAAGCUACAUACAAAAGUUGGAAAAUAAUUUUACCCUUUAUAGCAUCCCAAGACAUUCAGCAUUUUCUAAUUACUGAAUUAAUGUGCAAUUCUUUAAGUCUUUAGACGCGUAAGAGUAAUUCUGAUGUAAUUCACAAAGAAAUGGAAAAACAGACCCUUUAAUGACCAGCCCCAUCUGUGCAUCUAAAUUUGCCAAUGCAAGUAGAGACGCAUAGCAUGAAUGGAUAGAACUGCCAAAUAAUAUUUGACCAAUUGGAUUGCAGUAAAAUAUGGUCAGUUAUGCAUCUUAAAAAAUUCCUCGAACUUCAGAAAAGACACUUUCAAUGGACCCAAACUAGAACAAUUGAAAAUAUUGAGCCAGCAUUUAGCAAUACCAUAAUUCAUUUCAUACAAACUAAACUAAGUUUGUUGGAAUCUUCUUACAGAGUUUGAAAGGAUAUAGGUUUAGAAAAAGAAAAAAUGAAGACAAAUACUGAAAUUUGACAAGUAUCUUCAGC